GAUGAACGCUAGCUACAGGCUUAACACAUGCAAGUCGAGGGGCAGCAUGAACAAAGCUUGCUUUGUUUGAUGGCGACCGGCGCACGGGUGCGUAACGCGUAUCCAACCUUCCCGUUACUCAGGGAUAGCCUUCCGAAAGGGAGAUUAAUACCUGAUGGUGUUCAAAUUCCGCAUGUUAUUUGAACUAAAGAUUUAUCGGUAGCGGAUGGGGAUGCGUGACAUUAGAUAGUAGGCGGGGUAACGGCCCACCUAGUCUACGAUGUCUAGGGGUUCUGAGAGGAAGGUCCCCCACACUGGAACUGAGACACGGUCCAGACUCCUACGGGAGGCAGCAGUGAGGAAUAUUGGUCAAUGGUCGGAAGACUGAACCAGCCAAGUAGCGUGAAGGAUGAAGGUUCUAUGGAUUGUAAACUUCUUUUAUACGGGAAUAAAACCUCCCACGUGUGGGAGCUUGUAUGUACCGUAUGAAUAAGCAUCGGCUAACUCCGUG
rnacentral:rRNA from 1 species